UACAGAGGUCCCGAGCGUUGUUCGGAUUCACUGGGCGUAAAGGGUGCGUAGGUGGUGAGGAAAGUCGGAUGUGAAAUCUCCGGGCUCAACCCGGAAACUGCAUUGGAAACUACCUUGCUUGAGGGUUGAGGGGGACUGGAAUUCUCGGUGUAGCAGUGAAAUGCGUAGAUAUCAGGAGGAACACCGGUGGCGAAGGCGGGUCUCUGGCCGUAACUGACGCUGAGGAGCGAAAGCAUGGGGAGCGAACAGG
rnacentral:rRNA from 1 species